CUCGCUCUGUGCAGCUGAAAUACGGGGGUGCUGCAGGAGAGAUAGCAUAGAGGGCGAUAUAGAACCGUCUGCAGAUUCGUCAUAGCCCAUAUAUUUCCUGACAGGGGAAGAAAACUGACUACAUGAAAUAUCUGUUCAGAUUCUCUUAAGUGCCAUGAGAAGGUGAACACAGCAGACAAAGAAAAUCAGUGGGACCAAGUCAGAUCUGAUCUUAUCACCCACAGCCAAAGUACACUAUUGAAACUUUUCCAGAUCAAUCACUGCCUUCAUAUCAGAUUCUGCUCGAGUCUUAUUGGCACCAAGAAAAACUGGCACAUCCACCAUGAAGUUAAAUAAAGCAUCUCUGUACUGUAGAAAAAAAUAAAGUGCAUAAUACAG